AGUGGCGGGUGAGGACAGCGAACUUUUAAGCUCCCGUCUGUUAUUCUACAGCUGGUCUACAAGGCGAACACGUUUUCACGGUGUUCCAUGAUACUUCAGAGAAGAAUAAAUGUGAACGUGGACAUCA